rnacentral:lncRNA from 1 species
GCCCAGAGCGCACCCCGAGCGCCGGCGAGCGGCGCGGUGAGACCCUCGUGCAGGUGAGCCCGGCGCACGGCGGCCCAGAAUCCUGGACCCCAGGAGAAGCGUCUACGGCCCCGACAGGUGGGCGUGGCGAAAUGCCACCCGGGCCCUCCUCGCGCUCCCAGCUGGGUCACGCCUCAGACCCGGGGUCCUGGACGCCUGCCCCCCUCCACCCGCAGGCCCUGCCAGGACACUUUGGUCCCUGGCCCGCCAGGCCUGGCCUCACUCAGGCUUGGCUGUGGGGUCAGAGUCGGGCAGAACGGAACCAACAGUCCUGGCAGGCCCAGGCGGUUGGAGGAGAAGUGGUCGGCUCUGGACACCUUUGUUGUUUUUUGUUUUUUGUUUUUGAGAUGGCGUCUCACUGUGUCACCCAGGCUGGAGUGCACUGGCGCGGUCUUGGCUCACUGCAACCUCCACCUCCCGGGUUUAUGCAAUUCUCCUGCCUCAGCCUCCGGAGUAGCUGGGAUUACAGGUGUAUGCCACCAUGCCUGGCUAAUUUUUGUAUUUUUAGUAGAGACGGAGUUUCACCAUGUUGGCCAGGAUGGUCUUCAACUUCUAACUUCGUGAUCCACGCUGCUGGGAUUACAGGUGUGAGCCACCGCGUGUGGCCUCUGGGCACCUUUUGAAGGUAGCUGAAGCAGAGAGAGAAGGCGGCAGGCAUCAGCGUUUUCUUCUAUGAACUUAUAAGAUCAAAGACUUUAAGACUUUCACUAUUUCUUCUACCGCUAUCUACUACGAACUUCAAAGAGGAACCAGGAGUACGGAAGGAGCAUGAAAGUGGACAAGGAACGUGACCAUUGAAGCACCACAGGGAGGGGUUCAGGCCUCCGGAUGACUGCAGGCAGGCCUGGGUAACAUCCAGCCUCCCACAAGAAGCUGGUGGAGCAGAGCGUUCCCUGACUCCUCCAAGGAAAGGAGACUCCCUUUCCCGGUCUGCUCAGUAACGGGUGCCUUCCCAGACACUGGCGUUACCGCUUGACCAAGGGGCCCUCAAGCGGCCCUUAUGCGGGCAUGACAGAAGGCUCCCCUCUUGCCUUCUAUUCACUUCUCACAAUGUCCCUUCAGCACCUGACCCUAUACCUGCCGGUUAUUCCUAGGUUAUAUUAUUAAUGCAACAGAGUAAUAUUAAAAGCUAAUGAUUAAUAAUGUUUAUAAUAAUGAUGGAUAAUUGUUCAUGAUCAUCGCUGUAUCUAAUUUGUAUUAUGACUAUUCUUAUUCUAUUUUCUUUAUUAUACUGAAACAGUUUGUGCCU